rnacentral:misc_RNA from 1 species
AACGCACGAGACCUGCGGACCUGCGGAAGGAUCAUUAUAGAGUUUUUAACUCCCAAACCCAUGUGAACUUACCUUUGUUGCCUCGGCGGAGCCUACCCGGUACCUACCCUGUAGCGCCCCGCCGGUGGACUUCUAAACUAUUGUUAUUUUAAUGAUAUCUGAGAGUCUUAUUUUAAUAAGUCAAAACUUUCAGCAACGGAUCUCU